rnacentral:misc_RNA from 1 species
GAUGAAGAACGCAGCGAAAUGCGAUAAGUAAUGUGAAUUGCAGAAUUCAGUGAAUCAUCGAAUCUUUGAACGCACAUUGCGCCCUCUGGUAUUCCGGGGGGCAUGCCUGUUCGAGCGUCAUUAUAACCACUCAAGCUCUCGCUUGGUAUUGGAGUUCGCGAUCUCGCGGCUCCUAAAAUCAGUGGCGGUGCCUGUCGGCUCUACGCGUAGUAAUACUCCUCGCGAUUGAGUCCGGUAGGUUUACUUGCCAGCAACCCCCAAUUUUUACAAGUUGACCUCGGAUCAGGUAGGGAUACCCGCUGAACUUAAGCAUAUCAAUAAGCGGAGGA